UCCUGACUGACCGAUAGUGAACCAGUACCGUGAGGGAAAGGCGAAAAGAACCCCGGCGAGGGGAGUGAAAAAGAACCUGAAACCGUGUACGUACAAGCAGUGGGAGCACGCUUAGGCGUGUGACUGCGUACCUUUUGUAUAAUGGGUCAGCGACUUAUAUUCUGUAGCAAGGUUAACCGAAUAGGGGAGCCGAAGGGAAACCGAGUCUUAACUGGGCGUUAAGU
rnacentral:rRNA from 1 species